UUGCUAUGAUGAUAACCUCAAUAAGUGAAAGUUUGAUGAACUGUUUGACAAAUUAUGUCGAACCUGAGCGGUUACCUGAGCAA